rnacentral:rRNA from 1 species
GACAGAGGGUGCAAACGUUGUUCGGAAUUACUGGGCGUAAAGCGUGUGUAGGCGGCUUUGCAAGUCAGAUGUGAAAUCCCCGGGCUCAACCUGGGAACUGCAUUUGUGACUGUAGAGCUGGAGUACGGCAGAGGGGGAUGGAAUUCCGCGUGUAGCAGUGAAAUGCGUAGAUAUGCGGAGGAACACCGAUGGCGAAGGCAAUCCCCUGGGCCUGUACUGACGCUCAUGCACGAAAGCGUGGGGAGCAAACAGG